CUCUCUCUCUCUCUCUCGUCGGUGUGUUCCUUCUCCGGCGACUUUGGCGGCCGUCUGUCUCCGGCGACCUCUGACUUUCUGGGGCCUUCUCUUCCUCCACCCAGGUACCAAAACUUCUCUCCACACAUUCUCAAAUCCCAAUUUCCCCCCCUUUGGCGGCGCUCUCUCUCAUACGGCCGGCCGAACCCCUCUCUCUUGCCGGCGUGUUCGUGUCCCCGGUGUCUGACGGUGCACUCUCUCUAGCCGGCGUGUUCGCGUCUCCGGGGCUUUGGGUGGCCGGAUCUAUCUCUGGCAAAAGAAAAAAUGAUCUCGCCUCCGUUCCAUCUCUCUUCACGGCAUUCUCUUCUCUACCGGUGCCGUCUCCACCGCCGGUAACCUAUCAGAUGGUAGUUCAGUGGUUAUUGACUAAGACUUAUUUGUGAUGAACUCUACGAGGCGAUUCAAUUUUUCAAAGCUCAUGCCAGUCUUCCAAUGCCCCAAGUCACUUGCUUGAUCAUGCGAUGUAAUAUAUUGGUUUUGUAGUCGUUUGGAUAAUUCAAUCAAGAAUAAAGUGAAUUUGAGUUUAGCGAA